rnacentral:rRNA from 1 species
UGGGGAAUCUUGCACAAUGGGGGCAACCCUGAUGCAGCAACGCCGCGUGAGUGAUGACGGCCUUCGGGUUGUAAAGCUCUGUCUUCAGGGACGAUAAUGACGGUACCUGAGGAGGAAGCCACGGCUAACUACGUGCCAGCAGCCGCGGUAAUACGUAGGUGGCAAGCGUUGUCCGGAUUUACUGGGCGUAAAGGGAGCGUAGGCGGACUUUUAAGUGAGAUGUGAAAUACCCGGGCUCAACCUGGGUGCUGCAUUUCAAACUGGAAGUCUAGAGUGCAGGAGAGGAGAGUGGAAUUCCUAGUGGAGCGGUGAAAUGCGUAGAGAUUAGGAAGAACACCAGUGGCGAAGGCGACUCUCUGGACUGUAACUGACGCUGAGGCUCGAAAGCGUGGGGAGCAAACA